CUCUUGGAAAUUUCGAAGGAUGGAGAUUUCAACUUCUCUAGUUCUUUGCCUUCACAUCUGAAUAUCAAUUAUGAGGACUUCUUCUCUGCCCUCCUUCGCUAUGCGGCUUGUGAACAGCGCUGGGGAAAGUGAUACGUCUGAGCACACUACGACCAGUUUUUCCAUAGGAAGGAUCCUCUGUCUCUGUUUACAGGCACCUGUGAUCAGUACAAAUCCAGUCCAUAGUCCUUUCUUAAUUUAUCAACAAACUCAAUAAAAGUGUCUUACCUUUC